UACGAGGGGUGCAAGCGUUAUUCGGAAUCAUUGGGCGUAAAGGGUGCGUAGACGGCCUGUUAAGUCUGUUGUUAAAUUCUCCGGCUCAACCGGGGGGCUGCAAUGGAAACUGGCGGACUAGAGGGUGAGAGAGAGAAGUGGAAUUCCCGGAGUAGCGGUAAAAUGCGUAGAUCUCGGGAGGAACACCGAUGGCGAAGGCAGCUUCUUGGCUCAUUCCUGACGUUGAUGCACGAAAGCGUGGGGAGCAAACAGG
rnacentral:rRNA from 1 species